CGUGUAGGCGGUGCGGUAAGUUGGGCGUGAAAUCCCCGAGCUUAACUCGGGUGGGCCGUUCAAGACUGCCGUGCUAGGGUGCGGGAGAGGGCAGUGGAAUUUCCGGUGUAGCGGUGAAAUGCGCAGAUAUCGGGAGGAACACCUGCGGCGAAGGCGGCUGCCUGGACCGUAACCGACGCUGAGGCGCGAAAGCUAGGGGAGCAAACAGGAUUAGAUACCCUGGUAGUCCUAGCCCUAAACGAUGAGCACUGGGUGUGGCCCCUCACGGGGCCGUGCCGAAGCUAACGCAUUAAGUGCUCCGCCUGGGGAGUACGGUCGCAAGGCUGAA
rnacentral:rRNA from 1 species